rnacentral:rRNA from 1 species
AUUGAACUGAAGAGUUUGAUCCUGGCUCAGAUUGAACGCUGGCGGCAUGCCUUACACAUGCAAGUCGAACGGCAGCACGGGCUUCGGCCUGGUGGCGAGUGGCGAACGGGUGAGUAAUACAUCGGAACAUGUCCUGUAGUGGGGAUAG